rnacentral:miRNA from 1 species
GCUGGUUGAGGAUUGGCCAAGUGU